rnacentral:rRNA from 1 species
CGUACACUCCUGCGGGAGGCAGCAGUGGGGAAUAUUGCACAAUGGGCGCAAGCCUGAUGCAGCCAUGCCGCGUGUAUGAAGAAGGCCUUCGGGUUGUAAAGUACUUUCAGCGGGGAGGAAGGCAAUACGGUUAAUAACCGUGUUGAUUGACGUUACCCGCAGAAGAAGCACCGGCUAACUCCGUGCCAGCAGCCGCGGUAAUACGGAGGGUGCAAGCGUUAAUCGGAAUUACUGGGCGUAAAGCGCACGCAGGCGGUCUGUCAAGUCGGAUGUGAAAUCCCCGGGCUCAACCUGGGAACUGCAUUCGAAACUGGCAGGCUUGAGUCUUGUAGAGGGGGGUAGAAUUCCAGGUGUAGCGGUGAAAUGCGUAGAGAUCUGGAGGAAUACCGGUGGCGAAGGCGGCCCCCUGGACAAAGACUGACGCUCAGGUGCGAAAGCGUGGGGAGCAAACAGGAUUAGAAACCCGAGUAGUCCCAUGAU